rnacentral:lncRNA from 1 species
UAAUAUUAACUUGAACUGAGGAAACCAGAUUAAUAAAACCUCUGAAUAAUUGUAUUGCACAAAUACUAUAAUAUAUUUUUGUUACAUGGGAAACUUAUAAUGUAACAUAGAGAAGAAGGCUAUUGACAGAACUUUAUGGUUACAAAGAAACAUAUGACCCUUUGUUUUGUCAUUGAUUAUUUGAUACGUACACAAGUAGAGUUGCACAUUUAUGCGGGAUCAGUAAGAUUAAUAUAUAUAUUUAUAUAUCACUUCAUUCACUAGUGUCCUUCACCGGGGCUGGGAUUAGAUACUACUUCUUCAUUGGAAAGAUGAGCAACGAGCCUUCCACUACCACGCUUGUGAUAACUAGUGGCCUCAAUUGAAGGUGGGGUACCCUUCAAAGAGAGCAUUUCUUGUGUCUCAAUUUUGAGAAUCUUUCGGGCAUCCAAGACUGAGGAAUAGCUUACCAAAACAAGUAGAGUGAUGAGUAGAACAGAAUUCAAGCGAGCCAUGUGGAGCACUAAUGUAAGGAAAGAAGUACCAAUGUGUG